rnacentral:rRNA from 1 species
GACGAACGCUGGCGGCGUGCUUCACACAUGCAAGUCGAACGGAGUUGCGACCGGGUGAGUAACACGUGGGUGACCUGCCCUUCACUUCGGGAUAAGCCUGGUAAACUGUGUCUAAUACCGGAUAGUGUGGGAUGGGCCCGCGGCCUCUCAGCUUGUUGGUGGGGUAAUGGCCUACCAAGGCGGCGACGUGUAGCCGGCCUGAGAGGGUGGACGGCCACAUGGGGACUGAGACACGGCCCAGACUCCGACGGGAGGCAGCAGUGGGGAAGAUUGCACAAUGGGCGGAAGCCGGAUGCAGCGACGCCGCGUGGGGGAGGACGGCCUUCGGGUUGUAAACUCCUUUAACCAUCGACGCGGUAGAUGGAGAAGAAGCAACGGCUAACUACGUGCCAGCCGCCGCGGUAAUAC